GUCUGACUUGAAACUAGAACAUUGACAGGUCUCUGGAAUAUUGCUAUCCCAGUCUCUGUAACUCAUUAUUCCACAACACUUACCCUGCAACAGCAAACACAGUUGUCAGUGAACACAAGGUUAGAAACAGUGAACACAAGGUUAGAAACAGUGAACACAAGGUUAGAAACAGUGAACACAAGGUUAGAAACAGUGAACACAAGAUGAACACAAGGUUAGAAACAGUGAACACAAGAUGAACACAAGAUUAGAAACAAUGAACACAAGAUGAACACAAGAUUAGAAACAGUGAACACAAGGUGAACACAAGGUGAACACAAGGUUAGAAACAGUGAACACAAGGUGAACACAAGAUUAGAAACAGUGAACACAAGAUUAGAAACAGUGAACACAAGAUGAACACAAGAUUAGAAACAGUGAACACAAGAUGAACACAAGAUUAGAAACAGUGAACACAAGAUGAACACAAGAUUAGAAACAGUGAACACAAGAUGAACACAAGGUUAGAAACAGUGAACACAAGGUGAGAAACAGUGAACACAAGAUGAACACAAGGUUAGAAACAGUGAACACAAGAUGAACACAAGGUUAGAAACAGUGAACACAAGAUGAA